rnacentral:rRNA from 1 species
AUGCGUCCACGACGAACAACACUGGCACGACACCCACGUAUGUGGAUGGCUCGGUCAGGCAGUACUACGGAACCUGCACGCCAAUCAUCCUCCCUGACUUGCAUCCCUCCAUCACGCACCCGCAAGGAGACCAGGCGCUCGAGCUCGUCCCACGGUGCUCAGACCAGUAGCAGCCCCGUGAGGAGCGUGCCCGACUGUGGAAUAGAGAGGGUAUGGAAGGGAGGGGAUUCGCGGCGGUCGUGGAUGAACCACACGAAGGCACACAACGUAUUGCUUGCAGGAUCUAGCAGCACUGCACAUCCAACACAGCAAAAAAGAAGAAAUAAGCCCUUUUCUGUAUUGCACGGGUGGUUGUCGCCGCCAUUACAGGCGUAG